UUUCUUUAUUGAUGUGUGUGCUUUGUCAGGAUUCAGGAUGAUAAUGUUGUAGAUGCGAAUGAUGAGUAUGAGGAGAAAGCGAGAGAUCAUACCUUAAGUGGAAGAAGAACAAGGUGAUCUCUCUGUCACAAGGGGAAUGUUGUGAGAACAACGUGAUCUCUUUGUUCCUGCAUUUUUAUGUAAUUAAUUUAUUAUAUAUUUUUGCAAACUGGAUAAAGAAAUGUUGUGAAUGCACUAGACUUGUUGUGGUCAGGACUUACUCGAGCCUUGCAGCGUGAAUGCAGUAGCACGCAGCGCUAGGUCGAGCACACUGGCCUUUACGACAAGAGACCGGUACCAUCAGAUUCGCUUUAGUUCUUGCUUGGUUGCUUACUAGGUUCCUAUAAGAGAAAGGCCAGGUUCACCUUUUUUCCUGCUGCAAAGAUCACCAUCAUACAGGCAUUUGGCCUUUAUUUAUGUGAAUUUCUUUGUAAUUAUUUGAUUUGGUUACAUGCUAAUAAGGCAUACCAUGAUACCAAAACUUACCAGAUGUAAAUCUUGCAACCACCAACUAAUGAUUUUGAGGUUUAACUUUUGCUUCUGUGUUGAGUAUGUUGGUCUAAUGGUGAAGAGCUUCCAGGGCUUGUUGCUUGUCGGUUUGCAAGGCGUUGGUUCUUGAGGCAAGCUUAUUUGGAGCCUCCACUUUGUCCUGGCAUCAUGAAAAGGAUGCCUGCAAUGGCCUUCGUCAUCGAUUUGAGAAAAAAGAGUCUCAGUAAGGUGAUUUGGAAGAAGGAGGUGACCAGUACUUGGCAAAACUGUUGUGUUGAAGGAGGGCGAAUUAUCCAUAUAAUAAUUUUGUAUUUACUUUAGUUCGGCACUGAAAAAUGGUUAGCUAUAGUUCUGAAAAAGCAGAUUGGUGCUUUUGCAACACCAUCACAUAAGGAUCUCUACAUGUUCCGUUGCCAUGAGAGGAGCAUGCACCGAUACAAUCGCUGGUGGCAGUGGUUGCCAAUCCCUUGAGAAAAUGACAAGAGCAUAUGCAACCCUUGGACCUCCACAACGUCAGUGUUCUUCCAGGAGGAAUUUUUUGAUCAUAGAAAGUCGUUCUUCUGAAAACUGGCUUGAACUUUUACGUGGAGGCAUGCAUAUAUAUAAAUUCUGGAAGAUUAUUUUCAGAUUAUCACCUUCGAUCUCCCGCACUUGAAGCUUUUGCUUCUAUGGGCGCUGAAGAUUAGCAGUUGGGAAUGAUCAUUGUGACUGUCAUGCUUGAUGUUAGGUGCACUACAUGGUGUUGCUGCAUUAUACAUGUAUUAUUUGUUAAGGCAGAUAGGUUAUAACAGUUGCUUGAAAUAUAGACGAAGUACAUAAUUGUUCUUUUAUAAUCUGGUUGAUUUACUUAGUAUAUACUUGCAAAGUUAGCCUAUUUGACUUCCUCUCCUCUCCCUGGGGUGCCCCAGCGAUAAGCGUAAUAUGUAGGCUCUCAGGACUACCUACGUUUGGUCUCUAUUGGCCUUUCGGGUGAUCUUCUCCUUUUGUUUUCACUUCUCCCAUAUGUUGCUUGCACUGGUGUAUUUGAUGCAAUCCAUCAAAUGUUUUAAAUGUACUUGCUCCAUUUUGAAAAUGAGGGAACGUGACCAGCCUACUAAGUUCUUGUUUCUACCUAAAAGUAACUGCAGUUCGUUCUUCUUAAUAAAAAAUUUCUUGUCCCUGAAAUGAUUUGCUUGUGCCUGCAAGGGAGGGUCAUUAAAAAAAACUGCCUCAUCCAAACUCUUCUUUUAUGAUCUCUAUGCCGAUGGAGUGAAGGUUGGCUGGCGCUAGGUAUCAAAUGCACUGGGUUGGAACAAGAUAGUAGCUUACUUGUUCAUAAAAGAAGAGUUUUCUGAGUACCACUGGGUUGACAUAUAUCUGCACUUCUUUGUUUUCCAUUAUAGUAGCUUCAUUCUUAUAAUUUUGUCUUGCAUUCUCUGAAGCAUGCCUUAACAGUUGGAAUUAUCCCUGCAGAAUCUGAGAACUCACUUAUUUUGACUGUUAUGGGUGUCAAAGAACAUGUUUCAGCAUCG